rnacentral:lncRNA from 1 species
CAGAUUAGUUUGGCUUCUCUCCCAGGCUUCAGCAUUUCCUUUUCUUUCCUUCAAAUCCCACAGCACAAUAGAUCAAAGUGAAGUGCAUCCAGGGACUGUGGAUAAGGGGAUAAAAUAUGUAAGCAGCUUAAUGAGAUCCUAUCCUACUAAGGAAAGAAGAUGGCAGUGGAGAAUGUCACACUUGUUAGUGGGAGCUGCCGGUAAAGGAGGGGGUGGGACAAGUGAGAGCUGUCUGUAGUUAAGGGUAUACAGAGUUUCCAGUUCCCACUGCAGGGACUGUUUCAAGUGCAUGCAUGCACUCAUGUGCUUGUGCACGUGCACACACACUGACUAACACACGUUCUACUGCCUAAAUAGCCAUACAAGGAGGAACUGUGAUCGAAGCAUAGGAAGUUAAGCAAUUCACCUAGGUGGCAGAGUUGUGUCUUGGGCCCAGGCAAGCUGAAUGCUCACUUUAAACCACUACAACUCUCAUGUAUCAGGGAAACCCAUUGUUUCUAGAUGUUAGCAGAGUGUGCCAGUGUGGGAUAUGAUACGCUAAGAUCAUAGAUUCCCUUUUUCUUCCUUUCCUUAUUAAGGCCCACAAGCCCCCAAGGUUCAGCCAAUAAGAGCUAAGCCAUUGACUAGCAAGGAUCACUCUCCGUGACUGUGCUUCUUGGUGUCAACAUGAGCAUCCUCUAAGGUACUCUGGAGUGGGUAGCUCUUCAGGAGGGAAAUGUUAAUAAGCAGGGUAGUUGAUUCAAAAUGACCCUUUUAGUUACAGGAAUCUCAUGGUCAUCAGAAGGGGCGUCUGUGGUCAUUGGUCGGAGGUUUCUAUG